UUUUUAUGGAGAGUUUGAUCCUGGCUCAGGACGAACGCUGGCGGCGUGCUUAACACAUGCAAGUCGAACGGAAAGGCCUAGCUUGCUAGGUACUCGAGUGGCGAACGGGUGAGUAACACGUGGGUGAUCUGCCUCGUACUUCGGGAUAAGCCUGGGAAACUGGGUCUAAUACUGGAUAGGACCAUGCUUUAGUGUGUGUGGUGGAAAGUUUUUCGGUACGAGAUGAGCCCGCGGCCUAUCAGCUUGUUGGUGGGGUAAUGGCCUACCAAGGCGUCGACGGGUAGCCGGCCUGAGAGGGUGGACGGCCACAUUGGGACUGAGAUACGGCCCAGACUCCUACGGGAGGCAGCAGUGGGGAAUAUUGCACAAUGGGCGCAAGCCUGAUGCAGCGACGCCGCGUGGGGGAUGACGGCCUUCGGGUUGUAAACCUCUUUCGCUAGGGACGAAGCUUUUGUGACGGUACCUAGAUAAGAAGCACCGGCUAACUACGUGCCAGCAGCCGCGGUAAUACGUAGGGUGCGAGCGUUGUCCGGAAUUACUGGGCGUAAAGAGCUCGUAGGUGGUUUGUCGCGUCGUCUGUGAAAUUCCGGGGCUUAACUUCGGGCGUGCAGGCGAUACGGGCAUAACUUGAGUGCUGUAGGGGAGACUGGAAUUCCUGGUGUAGCGGUGGAAUGCGCAGAUAUCAGGAGGAACACCGAUGGCGAAGGCAGGUCUCUGGGCAGUAACUGACGCUGAGGAGCGAAAGCAUGGGGAGCGAACAGGAUUAGAUACCCUGGUAGUCCAUGCCGUAAACGGUGGGCGCUAGGUGUGAGGGUCUUCCACGACUUUCGUGCCGUAGCUAACGCAUUAAGCGCCCCGCCUGGGGAGUACGGCCGCAAGGCUAAAACUCAAAGGAAUUGACGGGGGCCCGCACAAGCGGCGGAGCAUGUGGAUUAAUUCGAUGCAACGCGAAGAACCUUACCUGGGCUUGACAUAUGCAGGAUCGGCGUAGUGAUACGUUUUCCCUUGUGGUCUGUAUACAGGUGGUGCAUGGUUGUCGUCAGCUCGUGUCGUGAGAUGUUGGGUUAAGUCCCGCAACGAGCGCAACCCUUGUCUUAUGUUGCCAGCACGUGAUGGUGGGGACUCAUGAGAGACUGCCGGGGUUAACUCGGAGGAAGGUGGGGAUGACGUCAAAUCAUCAUGCCCCUUAUGUCCAGGGCUUCACACAUGCUACAAUGGUCGGUACAACGCGCUGCGAGCCUGUGAGGGUGAGCGAAUCGCUGAAAGCCGGCCUCAGUUCGGAUUGGGGUCUGCAACUCGACCCCAUGAAGUCGGAGUCGCUAGUAAUCGCAGAUCAGCAACGCUGCGGUGAAUACGUUCCCGGGCCUUGUACACACCGCCCGUCACGUCAUGAAAGUUGGUAACACCCGAAGCCAGUGGCCUAACCCUUGUGGGGGGGAGCUGUCGAAGGUGGGAUCGGCGAUUGGGACGAAGUCGUAACAAGGUAGCCGUACCGGAAGGUGCGGCUGGAUCACCUCCUUUCUAAGGAG
rnacentral:rRNA from 1 species